rnacentral:rRNA from 1 species
GUUUAUCAAAAACAUGUCUUUUUGAAUUUAAUUUAAAGUCUAACCUGCCCACUGAAGUUUUAAAUGGCCGCAGUAUUUUAACUGUGCAAAGGUAGCAUAAUCAUUAGUCUUUUAAUUGAAGGCUGGAAUGAAUGGUUGAAUGAGAUAUUAACUGUUUCAUAUAAAUUAAUAAUAAAAUUUUAUUUUUUAGUUAAAAAGCUAAAAUUUGAUUAAAAGACGAGAAGACCCUAUAAAUCUUUAUAUUUAAUUGUAUAAUUAUUAUAUUGAUUAUUUAAAUUUUUAUAAAAUUAAAUAUUUUAUUGGGGUGAUAUUAAAAUUUAAAUAACUUUUAAUUUAUAAAAUACAAAAAUUAUUGAAUUAUUGAUCCAUAAAUAAUGAUUAAGAAAUUAAGUUACUUUAGGGAUAACAGCGUAAUUUUUUUAGAGAGUUCAUAUUAAUAAAAAAGUUUGCGACCUCGAUGUUGGAUUAAGAUAAAAUUUAGGUGAAGAA